rnacentral:rRNA from 1 species
AUGGCUCAUUAAAUCAGUUAUGGUUCCUUAGAUCGUACCCACAUUACUUGGAUAACUGUGGUAAUUCUAGAGCUAAUACAUGCAAACAGAGUCCCGACCAGAAAUGGAAGGGACGCUUUUAUUAGAUCAAAACCAAUCGGUCGGCUCGUCCGGUCCGUUUGCCUUGGUGACUCUGAAUAACUUUGGGCUGAUCGCACGGUCUUAGUACCGGCGACGCAUCUUUCAAAUGUCUGCCUUAUCAACUGUCGAUGGUAGGUUCUGCGCCUACCAUGGUUGUAACGGGUAACGGGGAAUCAGGGUUCGAUUCCGGAGAGGGAGCCUGAGAAACGGCUACCACAUCCAAGGAAGGCAGCAGGCGCGCAAAUUACCCACUCCCGGCACGGGGAGGUAGUGACGAAAAAUAACGAUACGGGACUCAUCCGAGGCCCCGUAAUCGGAAUGAGUACACUUUAAAUCCUUUAACGAGUAUCCAUUGGAGGGCAAGUCUGGUGCCAGCAGCCGGGGCGGGGGCGGCGGGCCGGGCG